rfam:Callithrix jacchus chromosome 5, whole genome shotgun sequence
UGGUGCCCAACGUAAGAGCUUGAGUACGAGGGACACAGUGAGGGAUGCCGUCAAGGUCAGCCGGCACAGAAGGAUUAAGAAACCCAGAGGAAAGAGCGUCGUGGGAACCUGCCAGGGACUCGCGCUCCGGUAAGGGGACUGCGAAUAUGGAACAGGAAAUCAGCCAGCAUUAGUUGUUCAUAGAGACUUUAAGUAAGGCUUUAAAGGCACAGGGAGUAAAGGUGAAAAUAAAACGAUUGUGUUAUAUUUUCACUAUAUUCAGGAUGUCUGCCCUU